CUCCCUUACCUUGCCAUGAAACUGAGCCCCUGAAAGUUGCCAUGUGCUGCUCUAAUUCUGGACACUGACUGUAUGACAUUGUGAUGCAACCUGGUUUUCUUGCUUCAGAGCUUCUUUUGGGAAACUGUUUAUGACAAAGAUCAAGCAUGCGUGCAUACCAUCUCUGGCUCAAAGAAUGAAAUACAAAUCUUACCAGUCACCACCACAGUGUUGGAAUUUGAAUCCAUGAUAUCUAUGCUCCAGAAGGUGGAAUCUUCUUGUCUUUCAGUUCCAAACAGUACUAUAAUUCAGGCAACAUGUUAGAAAAAUCUCACUCCAACUCGCAAGGUCAGAGGAACUCUAGAAGCUGGGUUAUAGCUUGCUGAAACUGAAAAAAAUCUAAGUACAGGGUGGUCUAAUGAACAAAGAAUUUGUAAGGAAUAAGAUGUGACUGGCACAGCACUCAUCCUGAGGUAGAGAAGAAAUGGAAGCAACUCAACUAUGAAAAUCCUGGUUAUCACCUUGAAUAUUUUUCUGCACAUUUGUCUGAUACUUUCAAAAACUGCUUGAACUGCUGCUGAAAUCUUUUCUCUUUAAUCUUUACCAUUGUCAUCCCACCAACAGCACUUGGAUGGUUUCAGCUUCUUGUCUUUCCUGCUGCAUCAAAGGAGACCUUGGAGCACAGCAGAGCCCAAGCUCUGGGCUGUGGGUGACACGGGGAGAGCUGGAAUGUACGAAGCUGGAAUGUACAAAGCUUCAAGGGAUCGUGAGCGUGGGCUGAAAUCCACUGAGGGUCUCUGAGGCGUGGUGAUGUGACAUCUGCUCUUUGGAGUGUCAGUGUAUGGCCUGAAAUCGC